UACAGAGGUCCCAAGCGUUGUUCGGAUUCACUGGGCGUAAGGGGUGCGUAGGUGGUGAGGUAAGUCGGAUGUGAAAUCUCCGAGCUCAACUCGGAAACUGCAUUGGAAACUACCUUGCUCGAGGGUUGGAGGGGGGACUGGAAUGCUUGGUGUAGCAGUGAAAUGCGUAGAUAUCAAGCGGAACACCGGUGGCGAAGGCGGCGUCCUGGACCAACACUGACACUGAUGAGCGAAAGCCAGGGGAGCAAACGGG
rnacentral:rRNA from 1 species